UAUAAGGUAUCAUAGCAGGAAAUGAGUAGAAUUUUGAAUUCUAUUAGAAAAGUUCGAAGCUUUUUCUUAUAG
rnacentral:tRNA from 1 species